rnacentral:rRNA from 1 species
UACGUAGGGUGCAAGCGUUGUCCGGAAUUAUUGGGCGUAAAGAGCUCGUAGGCGGUUUGUCGCGUCUGCUGUGAAAACUCGGGGCUUAACUCCGGGCCUGCAGUGGGUACGGGCAGACUAGAGUGCGGUAGGGGAGACUGGAAUUCCUGGUGUAGCGGUGAAAUGCGCAGAUAUCAGGAGGAACACCGGUGGCGAAGGCGGGUCUCUGGACAGCAACUGACGCUGAGGCACGAAGGCCAGGGGAGCAAACGGG